GAGGGUGCAGCUCAGUGGUAGAGCGUGUGCUUAGCAUGCACGAGGUCCUGGGUUCAAUUCCCAGUACCUCG
rnacentral:tRNA from 1 species